GACGAACGCUGGCGGCGUGCUUAACACAUGCAAGUCGAGCGGUAAGGCCCUUUCGGGGGUACACGAGCGGCGAACGGGUGAGUAACACGUGGGUGACCUGCCCUCAGCUCUGGGAUAAGCCUGGGAAACUGGGUCUAAUACUGGAUAUGACUCCACGGUGCAUGUCGUGGGUGGAAAGCCUUGUGCGGCUGAGGAUGGGCCCGCGGCCUAUCAGCUUGUUGGUGGGGUGAUGGCCUACCAAGGCGACGACGGGUAGCCGGCCUGAGAGGCGACCGGCCACACUGGGACUGAGACACGG
rnacentral:rRNA from 1 species